GAUGAACGCUAGCGGCAGGCCUAAUACAUGCAAGCCGAGGGCUGUCUGUGUAGCAAUACACAGAUGACCGGCGGACGGGUGCGUAACGCGUACGCAACCUACCCUAUACAGGAGGAUAGCUCCCGGAAACGGGAAUUAAUACUCCAUAGUAAUUAAGCGAGGCAUCUUGCUUAGUUUAAGGUCGCGAGACGGUAUAGGAUGGGCGUGCGUCCGAUUAGCUAGUUGGUGAGGUAACGGCUCACCAAGGCGAUGAUCGGUAGGGGUUCUUAAAGAAAAUCCCCCACACGGGCACUGAAACACGGGCCCCACUCCUACGGGAGGCAGCANUAAGGAAUAUUGGACAAUGGGUGCAAGCCUGAUCCAGCCAUGCCGCGUGGAGGAAAAGUCCUAUGGAUUGUAAACUCCUUUUGCAGGGGAGAAAUAAAUCCGAUUAAUCCGA
rnacentral:rRNA from 1 species